GCCACAUCAUUUCAGCAACGGCUUCUCAGUGGGCUCUGCAGGUCACUUCUCCAGAUUUAUACAUUCUUUUACAGAAAAGGAAAAUGAAUCUCUUUUCCUGUGCACGCCCUCUCUAACCUUCACAGAUCUCCAAGGAUAACCUGGCAGCAGAGAUAAACAGGCUGUUUUGCUAAUCUGCCUUACAAUACCAGAGCAGAGAAAUGUAUAAAAGUGAAGAGAUGCUAAUGCACUUUCUGCUUCAUGGUAAUUAGCAAACAUUAGCAUUGCUAGCACUGUGAACACGAAUAUCAAUAAGACUCCUUGGAGAGCAGGAUGCUUCCCAGGCAGGAGACACGAGGAGAGAGACAGCAAAGUCAGAGGCAGAGAGAUAGAGAGGGAAAAAGGUGCUGGACAUUUAAUCUGGCUUCUUGCUGUGCUCACCUAGGAUCACUGGCAGAUCCCUAUUGACUGUUUCACCACAAUUGUAACUCUAAACUUGUCAAGCUGCACUUGUAAGAGAAAAUCCUUCUCUGAUGCAAUGUGUGUGAAAUAGAUAACAAGGAGAAAGAUGAAUGAUCAGACUGGAAAAAAAACAACAGAACUUUCUCUUUGAGUGGCAGCUGAAAACAAUCACUUAGUCCUGAUGUCACCCUCUGAUCAUGAUGGUCAGCCUCGGGAAGAGAAAUUGCUUAUUGCAACACUUAAAGCAAGUCAGGAUUUACCCCCCUCUCCACGCCCCUGCUGAUGGAUCUUUAGAAAUCCAGAAAAGUGCAAAUGGAUAAUGGGCACAUUAUGAAAAGAAGCCCCUGUCAAAGACUGAAGGGAAACUUCAUAGUGCUCAUUAAAUUCCACUCUUUUCUGGGACCACAGCCAUCAUAGCGGUCAACCUCUGAACCAAAAGAGAGGAGGGGAAAAAAGAAUAAAAAAG